CUCGCAAAGUGGGAGUCGAAGGCGUCCGGCGCCGUGCCGUCUUCUCGGAGGCACCCCCCACCUCCCCACCACCACCGUAGGUGCAGGCGCUCACUCUGACUUUAACAAAGAGCACGUAGAAGCUCUCGCGGUGAUCAGCGGCAACAUGCCCUCGAGCUCCUCGGCAUUGGACGUGCCGCUUGUAGAAGUCAUCUGCAGCUAUCCGACCCGCGAGGGGCUAUGCGCCGAGUGCCCUGCACUGCUGCUGCUCGUCUACCAGCACGUUGUAGCGGAGCUGCAGGCGGGGCGACGCGCCGUGGACGUGUUCCGUGGCACCUCGCGGCAGGACCACCUGAGCGAAUUACUCGGUGUGCGCUCCUUGUCGGAGCUGUUUGAGCAUCUCUACCCGCUGUCGCAGUCUUGCACCCUCGAUGAGAGCACUGCGGGCUCGCAGUUCUGGAGGCAGGCACGGGCUACCUUGGAGGCCGCGUGGGCGCCGCCGCACGACGCAAAGGCGCGUGCCCUUCUCACGCAGGUGCGCGGCCAGCCGCGAUUCCGCUUUUGCGGGCCGCGCGACGCCGAGACGCCCGGGGAGGGCUAUCCACUGCACCCUGUAUCGUUGGAGCGGGCCUUGGCAACAAGCAAGCGCUUCCUCCGCACUGCGAUGACCUGCGCACUGGACGGGUCAACGGAUGCCCUGGCCGGGCGGCAACCGGAGCUGCGCGCGGUGCUGCAGCUGGCCCACCUUGUUCCCCAUACUCCGUCGACGGGAGCGCCUCCGAGAAAAGAAGUCACGCCGGAGGGGAUUAGCUUCUGCAUGGUGUCGCUGCAGCAGCGGUGGUGGGUACUGGUGAACGCGGCGCUGGAGCGCGUUCUGCUGCUCACUCGCGCUGCCGCGAAUGGGAACGGUAACACCAGCGGCAGCAGCGGCGUCACAAAAUCGCUUCUCUGGCAGCUGCUGGCGGUGCUGUCUGUCCUAGACACUGCGCACUACGUCUUCGCCUUCCCAGAAAGGCAGCAGGAUCUCGCGGCUCACCAUCUUCUCGCACGGCUGUCCGAGGUCGGGCUGGUGUACCCCUUACUCAGCAACGACCGCAAGUGCUUUGUCUUGAGUCCUGACUUCCUGCACGCCAUUCACUGGCACGCGAGCACGCCGCUGUCCCUCACCUUCAAUCAUCACCUCCUGCGAAGCGUUAGCGGCGUCAGCGACAUACGUCGCGAGGACACCGACACCAUCAUCACCGAAACGAACUUCCGUCUGUACGCGUACACCGACGAUGCUGACCUGCUCAACAUUUUGAACCAGUUCGCGAAGCUGGAGGAGAUCGUGAACGGGAAUCUCCACUGCUACCGCGUGACGCGGGACAGCUUUGCCUCCGCGAUGCGCAAGGGCAUCACCGCUGCACAAGUCCUACGCUUUCUUUCGCUGCGAGCGCACCCCAGCAUGCUUCGCCGGCACGGGGAGCGGGAGGAGAACGGUGACACGACGUCGCCAUCGUCUGCUGGCGGCGCCUCCUCUUCCUUCACUUUUUCAGCGUCCCCUCGUCGUAGGGCUGUUGCGGGCACGUGUGGGAGCACCACCUCCAUUGAUGCGGUGUCGACGCUUGUGGUUCCGCAGUCCUUCUGCGACCAAAUGCACAUGUGGGAGAGCGAGUGUCGCCGCGUAGUGUUUGAGCACCACGUUGUCCUGCUACGCAACAUGUCAACGGAGCAACAGAAGGCGGUGACAGCGUAUUUGAUCGAUGCAGGGGAGGUCGAUGCCGUUGCGCACGCUGAGCGCGGCUACAUGGUGAUUCGUGAGGAAGUCUUCGAGCGUCUUGUCGCACCACUUUUAAGGUGAGCCGGGCAGCGGUGUUGGAGAUGGAGGAGACCGCCGCCUCUGCAGCUUUGUGCGUGCUAUCUUCUUCUUAUCCUCUUUCCUUGUGGUUGCCAGUGCAGAGAACGGUACUGCCUUUCCUCUCCCCUCUCCCCCCUCCACCCCCAACACAUACACGUACGCGUACACAG
rnacentral:misc_RNA from 1 species